UAUGAACUCAGCUAUUUCCAGAGAAACCCUCAGUCCACUGAUUCUUCUGGAAGGAAAAGAUAUGAACGCAGAAAAUACAGUACUGAAAGAGAGAGACGUGACAUCACCCAGGGGAAAGAACCUUCCAGGUCC